AUUGAACGCUGGCGGCAUGCCUUACACAUGCAAGUCGAACGGCAGCACGGGAGCAAUCCUGGUGGCGAGUGGCGAACGGGUGAGUAAUAUAUCGGAACGUGCCCAGUGAUGGGGGAUAGCCCGGCGAAAGCCGGAUUAAUACCGCAUACGACCUACGGGUGAAAGCAGGGGAUCGCAAGACCUUGCGUCAUUGGAGCGGCCGAUAUCAGAUUAGCUGUUGGUGGGGUAAAAGCCUACCAAGGCGACGAUCUGUAGCUGGUCUGAGAGGACGACCAGCCACACUGGGACUGAGACACGGCCCAGACUCCUACGGGAGGCAGCAGUGGGGAAUUUUGGACAAUGGGCGCAAGCCUGAUCCAGCCAUGCCGCGUGC
rnacentral:rRNA from 1 species